rnacentral:rRNA from 1 species
UACGGAGGGGGCUAGCGUUGUUCGGAAUUACUGGGCGUAAAGCGCACGUAGGCGGCUUUGUAAGUUAGAGGUGAAAGCCCGGGGCUCAACUCCGGAAUUGCCUUUAAGACUGCAUCGCUAGAAUUGUGGAGAGGUAAGUGGAAUUCCGAGUGUAGAGGUGAAAUUCGUAGAUAGUUCGGAAGAACACCAGUGGCGAAGGCGACUUACUGGACACAUAUUGACGCUGAGGUGCGAAAGCGUGGGGAGCAACAGG